CACCUGGGGAGACCGUUCGCCAGGAAUAAAAAUUCAAAGGAAUGGACGGGGGACCGCACAAGCGGUGGGAGCAUGUUGGUUUAUUCGAAGCAACGCGAAGAACCUUAACCCAGGGUCCUGACAUCGAUCUGAAUGUGAUGCAAAAGUCGCAGCCCUUCGGGGCAGAGAAGACAGGUGGUGCAUGGUUGUCGUCAGCUCGUGUCGUGAGAUGUUGGGUUAAGUCCCGCAACGAGCGCAACCCUUGUCCUAAGUAGCCAGCGGUUCGGCCGGGCACUCUUGGGAGACCGCCGGGGAUAACCCGGAGGAAGGUGGGGAUGACGUCAAAUCAUCAUGCCCCUUAUGAUCUGGGCUACACACGUGCUACAAUGGCGUAAACAAAGGGAGGCGAAGGAGCGAUCCGGAGCAAAUCCCAAAAAUAACGUCUCAGUUCGGACUGCAGGCUGCAACUCGCCUGCACGAAGCUGGAAUCGCUAGUAAUCGCGGAUCAGCAUGCCGCGGUGAAUACGUUCCCGGGUCUUGUACACACCGCCCGUCACACCAUGGGAGUCGGUAAUGCCCGAAGCCAGUGGCUCAACCUUUUGGAGGGAGCUGUCGAAGGCAGGACUGAUAACUGGGGUGAAGUCGUAACAAGGUAACCGUA
rnacentral:rRNA from 1 species